CUUAAAGCAUUUUGAAAACUGCUGUACAAAGUGCAGUAUGGCGAUAAAAUAGAGCAGCGCCUAAUUAAUACGCAUAAAAAGCCUUAUGAAUAAUUUUAACCCAUUCCUCACCACUGAUUCUUAAGCGUGAACUCCUCUGGAAUCAGCUAAGCAGAAAAAUAGCUCGGCUGUGAGAUGAGGAUGGCAGAAGUGUGAGAUGCCUCCUGAAGAAAACUGCCAUCAACAGAGUGAUGGGCUGAGACCUCUCCAUUCAGAACUGCCUUUCCUCUGAAGUUGUCAUCACUCCCUGAAUCCCACCCCAUCCCACCAACAAAUCCAUCAGGUUGGGACGCCCAGCUUCACCCUUCUGUGGGAACGUCUGUCUGGUUUGUCUGGGUUUGCAGAUGGACAGUGUGCACUGCUGAAGUCCGUGACCCAGAGCCAGGGGUGACCUAACAGCAGGAGAAAAGCAGGCUGAAUCCACAGCAGAUGGUUUUAUGGGCAAAGUGUUACAGAGAGCCUCUGACAAGAAGCCAAUACAGCUCGUGCACUCUCCCGGACUAGUUAGACAAAUGGUCCGCACAAUAGAGUCCCCCUGGCAGCUCUGAGUAGUGGGGUAGCAGGAGGCAAGUACAGCAUCCAUAUAUUCACAGGUACCUCUAAUGUACACAAAAAUAUAUAAUAAGCAUCAGCAGUCUUCAUUAGAGAGCAACUAAGAAUUAUGGAGAUCCUAACCUUGCAAGCCGAAUAAAUUAUUGCCAGAGGAUUAUUAUGUAUUCUAACAAUAUCUAAUGUACCUCUUUGUCUCCCAUAAAUUACAGGGCAUCGUGUGACUCCUGGAAUACAUUCUGUCUCAUACAUAGCCACUACGUGGUCUCCCCCCCCCCCCCAAAUACACACAAUAGAGACUCUAAUCAGCAUGGUCUUGCAUAGAGAUUUUAAUAGCUGAGAAAAACGCAGUUGCAGUCACAUGUUCACUGGCCUGUUGUAACUAUUUCAAUUACCAAAGCAAAUGACCACAAUUUAAAUGUGCUGAUAAAGGGGAAGCUCAUUUACAGUGUGUAUAUAAGAAUAUCAUUAUUAGCUACAUAGACCCCUGUUCACAGCUGCAUGGGAAUUUUACCAGCGUGUAAAGUAUCUCCAUUUGGUGUAUGCUAUGGUACAGUCCUCAUGAUUAAAUUUCUGCCUUUCAAGCAAAAAAUCACCAAUAACACCUGCUGCUGCAUUGACUGGUCCAAUACGGACUUACCAAUGACUCCCAAUAGUGAGUCAUCAAACUCAAUUUGCUUCAGCAUGCAAAAAAGCCCCCUGUAUUUUAGCACCUUCUACUCACAGCGGUGAGAGAUGACACCUAAAAGAACUCCGGCCCUGGUAUGGUGUGCACUAACACCAGCAAAGCUGUCUGAUUUACAUCAAGAAACAGAUGUCCCUCAAGUGAUCUUGAGAUUUUCAGCACUUGGUAUAUUUGCCCUUGCUUCUAUCCACAUCCAGCCAGCACUGGACUUGGCUAUUACUGUCCAACAGACUUACUGAUGCAUUGGAUAUCUGCUUCAAGGUUUCAAAAUGCCUGGAUACACCAACAGGUACCAAAGAAUUAAAGGGCUUUGUAGCCCAUGGUUGUGUUGUCCAUUUUUGUUGGGAAUGACACGAGAAAUACACUGAGCAGCACACUGUAUUAAACUGCAAAGAAAGCUAAAAUUACUUUAGAAAAGCCUCAUUUCGUGAUCAAGGCCUCAAUGUUUUGCAUCAUUCUCUCACAUGCUUUCUGGUUCAGGUUCCUUCCACCACUUAGUCUGGCACGCAAACACAUUAAAACCCUCUUUUGAUAGGAGGAGUCCAAGAAGGACACUGUGCUUAAGACUUCAUGGGCUGUCUUUUUAAUAUAUAUUAGCAAGAUGACGGAUACCCUGAGUGGACCAGUCAGGGAAAGCAAACGAAGACAAGAAAUAUUCUCAGGGUGUUAUUGAUUAUCUGUUUUUCAGAGCAGAGGGAAUCGUUUUUAACUGGUUUAAACUAUGAUGGACUCAAGUGGAAAACGCAAGGAGAGUUAGCGAGGAGCAUAAUUGACUGGGCAUGGAACUCAGUAACCUCUCAGCACGCUGGAAGUGGUGGAGCAGAGGGGUUACGGCCAGGGCUGCUCCGCACCCACAGCCCUUUCUUCCCAAAGUGAACUCCGCCAGCAGCCAAAGACGGCAAUGACAACAACCUCUGGAGAGAUAGUCCCUCCUGACUCCUCACCAUGGCAACCGGUGUCUCAUUUCAGAAGUGUCAUGCCACAUUAUCAUCUUGCCGGCUCACACACUCCUGCCUGACAAGUUCUCUCUGCCCCUUGUGACAACCAUUCCAGGCUUAUGCUGUUUAUUUUUGGUGUCAGGCUGGCCCUGGCAGAUUGAAAGGCAACCUCAACCCCUUGAACAACAAGCACCACACCCCACUUGGCGAUAAGAGAUGAUUUGAGAAGAUAUUUGCUUACAUGUGUAUAAGCAAUUUGCUGUAUGAUGAAGCCCCGGUGUGCCUGUGUGAACGCACACGUAUGUGUGCAAAGGGGAAGGAACUGCAGAAGCGUAACAUUUCAUGAGAAAACAAACAAUUCAUUGCGGAUCCCAGGUAGCAGGCUUCAAUCAUCACAUCCCAUCGUACACACAGAACGUGAAACGUGGGCCACAAAGGCACCACGGGUGCUCCCCACAAAGAGAAACAACAGCUAAGCUCGGUCUGUCCCUGCAAAACAGCCUCGCUGUGUCCCUGCAGAGCGCUGUGAGAUGCAGCGGCAGAGGCACCCCAUAGGAGGAAUGGGGACAAAACACGACAGUUCACUGCAGAAACACGCUAGGGCCAGAUUCAUCUCUGCUGUCAUGGAGUCAAUUUGGAACAGCACUGUUGUCAUUGAAUUACUUGGGACUGCCUGCAAUUGGAAUCACAGAACCUUGUCUUCAAGUAGCAGGCUGCGUGCAUCAUGGAGACUUCCUUUUAACUAUCCAAUUUUUACAGCCUGUACAUAAGCAGGACUAUGUCUACAGCUAGGGUUUCUUGGUGUAAGCACAAUUAAAGCUGAUAGUAAUUACAAAAGUAUGUAUUACAUUUGUUUUUAACGCUAAACUUAAGAAUACGGCAGUAUUUGUUUUAUGUUUACUUGGCUGGUUGAGGUGGUGGUGGUAGAGCAGGGCUUCUCUCCACUCCGAGUCAGGGAUAGCAUCCCACCCUCCCACCUCACCAGGCACAGAACAAGCUGCUCCUGGACCAACUGUUCCAUUGCUACCUGUCAGGAGGAAAGCUGCAGGGAAUCGGACAUGAUGUCCGGGUAGCAGCAGCAUGAAGGAGAAAUGAAGGAGCAGGAUGGCAGAUCAACACAGAUUUCAUAUUUACUAUCCAGCCCAGUUAUUGUAGGCUGUGCCUACAGCUGUGCAUUUGAUUUAGUUUACAGGCACUGCUUCAGCCCUGGUAAGAGGUGGGAGUGUGCUUCACCGCGGCAUUUACACAGAUCACAACGUAAACAAAACUUGACCCAACACCUUUUAUGUUAUCUCAGAGAAAGAAUCAUAAACUGAGCAAAAUCCACACCAUUAACUCCAGUGCAGUCUUUGAUCAAAUCGGGAGCUAAAAGGAAAACAGAUUUCCUUAAAAACAAACUAACAAAGCAGUAUGUGCAUUUCAUUUUUAAUCCACUUUCUAGCAACCGCACCAUAGAAAGGCAGAGGCUCACAACAGCAAUGCAUCUGAACACGAAAUAUGGCCAUCCCAAGGCACACUAAUGGCAUCCACAGCGCUGGUAAGAGGGAGCACGGAUGUUUUUACAACUGUAGGAUGGGGAGAAUUACUGUUGAUUAUGGAGCAGCAAUGAAAUGCCACAGUUGUGAGUGAUAAACACAGCAAAUGCUACAGGGGGUCCUCCUGGAAAAGGAAAAAAGGGGAACGUCUCGUCAUGCAGAAAAAUAUCCCAGGAAAAAAGGAUGGAGGUGACGCCUGCGUGGCUGUUACCAACCACGGGCUUCAUUCUGCCCCCAGCUGCACACGUGCAACCCAUCACCAGGUAAGAUUUCUCAGUUUCUAUAGCGAAUGCAGGUGUACACCUAAGGGCAGAUUGUAACUUCCUCUCUCAAACAAAACACAGCGAAUGGAGACGGACUCCCAUUGCAGCAGAACACUGCACAGCCGCUUUGCCCUACAGGAAACACCAUAUGCAUGUCAGCCAGCAGAACCUUCUUACUUCUUCUCGUUAGUACUGUGCAUACGCAACCAGAUGCAAAUAUAUACACUUGCAUGCAUUGCUACUGCCACAUAACCCAGCCUGGGAUAUCCCAUUCCCAAACACCUGAGUACCUACACAGCUCUUCAUGGGUGCAAAGCCUCCAGGACUGCAGCAAUGAAACAGCGGAACAGAACUCACAUUGCCUGCGAGGCCCAUCUAUUCAUCUCUGCCCACAAGACUCCCUCGCACCACUGCAUGCUUUUUAUACUUCAUUAAAGCAAAUCACUGAUGUUCUUCAGCUGACAAACAUCCCCGGAAAGGAUGCAAAGAGCGGCAAGAAUUCGGCUUUGGCAAGCAGAUCUAUUUUCAUCUUACAUUUACAGUUGCUUGUGCAUAUCUAUAUAUCCAUCUGCAUCCCUAUCUUCAUAAAAACCUAACUGCAACAAAAUAAAUGAUAAUAAUUCUGCUGUUUCUGUUUCCGCUCUUCCCCAUCAGAAAGCUGGUAAUAAAACAAGCUCUCUAAAACAGGCAUUACCAACCCAGGCCAUGCAAACAAACACUUCACUGUUUUAUAAUCUCACAUGUCGAAUGAACAUCAUCGUUCCCUUUGGUGCCUUAAAAUAUCGGGUCCAUAAAAUUACUAAAAGGCAGAGCAGCAAUGCUGCCUAACACGCAGCCCACGGGAAGGCUGACAGUGCCCCAUCAGCUUCGCUUGUUGGCAGCUCUGAAUGUGCGUAGCAGUGUUGGUUGGGCAAAGCGCUCACAGAGCACUGUGUGAACACAGCCGGGCCGUGGGAGCAGCACACCACGAGGUGACCCCGAGCCCUGGGGAUGCGGAUGGUGCAGUGUCCCUUUGGCCUUCUGCAGGCGGAAGAUGCCAGCACUUAUCCUAGCUGUGCAGCACAGAGGGCUAAAGGAAAUACCGUGGGACACCAGAUAUGGGCAUUAGAGUGCAAUCCCUUACAGAGCGUGGUCAGUCCACUGCUGUAGUUGGUUUUAAAUAGCACUGUGCACUGCGUGAUGGAUGUUGACAAAACAAAACAACCCCAUAAUUACAAACAAACAAAAAAAAGACCCAAACCCUGAACCGACGUCACUGGUGAAAGACGCAGAAAUGAAAACACAGCACAGAGCAGCUGAGGGCAGGGGCGCCCUGUCCUGCGGGAGCAGCAGCGGAGCGGAGCAGCACC
ensembl:lncRNA